UAAACCUUAAGAUGACUCAGCAACUUCUGCUUUAUGCACAUGCAACUCCCUUAAGAAAUCUGGCUCUGGUGCAGGAGAGACAAAGUGAAGAGGCCACGUGGUGAGGAAGAUGCCUUGAGACAAGGAAAGAGGGAAAGACCAGCUGUUCUCUGUUCCAACCCCUGGUGACCAGUGCACCAUGAGAUUGAGCUACCCAGUCAUCCAUCCAUCCAUCCAUCCAUCCACUAAUCUAUUAUCUAUCACUUUAGAGCUUGCUACCAAAGAACUAGACUACAAUUCUAUACCAAACGUCUGUUUCACUCUGUGAUUUUCUAGGCCACUGAGGAAGUUCAGGGAAGAUGGAAUGAAAAAUCAAAGUUUUACACUUGUUAUGAUCUUAAUUUUAAGCCUUUGUAAUUCUCAUAAGGGGACUUUUCAAUGUAAUUGCUACUUUGUUGAAUGUCUCAAACUUUUCUUGAGUUUGAUAAACUUCAAGACAAUAGUCACACUCUUCUGUAAAUAAAGUAAGUGGAGUUCGGACUGUGACAACAUGUCAUCUCUCAAACAAGUUAUAUUUCUCUGACACAUGUCUUCGAGGCAAACACUCCUGACUUCAGGAGUCGGUGGGAGCUGCUGGUUGAGAUGCGGUCAUUGCCAUGACCGCAUUGAAGACCUCUGCUGUUGUCCUUCCUUGAGUCAGUAAUGGAUAUUACAAACACCACCUUCUAAUGCCAGCACAGGGAGAGUGCAUAACUGUGAUUUGUAAGAAUGUCAUCUUUCUCCAAGUGAAUGCAAAGAGGCUUUCUACCACAGUCUGCAUUCACUGAUGGGCUGUGAUCCAUUGUGAGACACAAACAUAAAUCAAGAGGAGGUCAUAAAGUAGGUCCUUAUGUGGACAAGCAAAUUUAAGGAAAAUAAGGGAUCAUGAAGAUGAGGAAAUACAGCUUUCAUAAGCCUGGGUCCUUCCUUGAGUGAAUUCCACCGUCAUUAGGUUAACAAGCUCAAUUCAGGAUAAUAUGUCCUCUAGGAACUUCAAAAUUAAACAACAUCCAGGAUAAUAUAUCCCUCAAGAACCUCAAAAUUAAACAACAUCCGAUUUAGUGCACAUGUAAUGUAUUCAUUCACAUACAAAAUAAUUGGUUAUCAUGAUUGGAUUGAAAACUUAGAGUCCAUAAUUAUCGUCAAGUUGGAUGUUAAAAUAAGCAAAGAGUAAAUCCACUAACACAAGCCAUUUCGUGGAUAAGCAAAAUUGUAAUGUUGCAGCUUUCUAAAUAUCUGGAAUGGUGUAGUCUCUGAGUUAAAGCUAGCUUUUUCAUCAGACAAGGAAUACUUGACUACAAAGGAGUACUUCUACCUACAUUCUUAUGGGAGAUUGAGAAGGGAAAUAUCAGCCAAGAAGACAGUUCCUGGAACAUCCGUCGCUAGAUGAGGCGUCUAACGUAAUUGUAAGAAGCUUAGACACUUCACUUGCCGUUUACGUUAAUACCCAUGGAUCCCUGACAUCUGGACAUGCUAAUCCAUGCUUGAGUGAAAAUGUACUUUGCACACAGCCUUUUAGUUGCAAUAUAUUUUUGUAAGAUUUCAUGACUGUGUAGCCCAGUUUCUUCUUUUGUGCUAAAGAGACUUCUAAAAAAAAUGAAUUUAAUAUUUUGGCUACUUCAAAGCCACAUCCAUUUCACACUCAGUCUUCAUUUUGUGUUCAUUCUUACUGGUGAUAUUUUAAUAUUCCCUGUUUAACUACCUUUUAUGUAAUUUAAUUUUUGUAUUUUUGGCAGCCUGUGUCUUAUUUCUCUUAAGCUUUAAUCAAUGCCAACUACUUUAUUUCUUUACCUGAUGUUUUGCUCAUUUCCUCC
ensembl:lncRNA